AAGGUGAUGGGAGAAGUGCUGUUCCACUUCCUGACCAAGACUAUCUUGGGAGUCCAUCGUACUAAGAUGCCAACAUUCUGAGAACAUCAAGGAGAGGCCAGUUGGGAAGCAGGUGGAGAUGCGUGCUAGGUCCUUGAAAGGUGGGAAAACCGAGGCUUGGAGAUGUUUGUGCCUCGUCCAAGGUCACUCGGCCCGGAGGUGGUCAGAGCUAGGAUCUGCACCUACAGCUGUCUGUCUCCAGAGUUUAUACUCCUGCCAUAGCUAUUCCAUUUCUGGAAAAGCAAUUGUCGUGGCUCAGAUGCCAAGCCCUGCCUCCCUGGAUGGGCCUGCCAAAACCAGCCCUGCUUUGAUGAAGGCCAAGUACACCCUUUGCCAGCCUGAAAUUGGAUUCCCCGGCCUAGAAUCACCUGCAUGUAUCCCUGACUUUCAGGUUCAGAUCAGACAUUGUGUAGCACAACAGAUAAGAACUCAGGAUCUGGCUUCAAAUCCCAGCUCUACCAACUUCCAUCUGAACCUUUUUCAAGCCUCAACUUUCUUACCUUUAAAGUAGAGAUGAUAAUAACAGCAUCUUUCUUAUAGGGUUGCUGUGAAAUCUACACGCAUAGCUAAUAUCUAAUGAGUACCAGACACUCUUUUAAGCCCUGUACGUGUGUUAGUCCUAAUCCUAGAUGUAUCACCAUUUUAGAGAUGAGAAAACCAAGACAGUGAUUUGCCCAAGGUCUCGUGGAGUUGGAGUCUGUACCCAGGUAGGCUUGCUCCAGGGCCCCGUUGUUUGCAGUGACCCUAAGCUGCCUCUUGGUUUAAUGAAGCAAUGUGGUAGUCAGACAUGGGAAAACCUAAUGACCAUCACAUCUUUUUGUAUUCUGGAGGAUGUUAAUGUUUUAUCAUGCAAAAGGAGGAUUCCAGUUAACAAUGACAAAAGCCAUCCCCUGCAGGGCUGGAAUGUUUGCCAGAGAACUGAGAUCCACUCCCACAGAAGGUCCAACUGACCCAGGCCUCUAGGCCAGCCCUGCUCCCUGCACUUAA